rnacentral:rRNA from 1 species
UACGUAGGGGCGAGCGUUGUCCGGAAUCAUGGGCGUAAAGGAGCGUGUGAUGGCGCUUGGCAAGUCUGACGUGAAAGCCCGCGGCUCAACCGCCGGGAUUGUCGUUGGAAACUGCCGUCGCUAGAGUCCGGAAGAGGAGAGCGGAAUUCCGUGGUGUGAGCGGUGGAAUGCGCAGAUAUCGAGGAAGACACCAGGUGGCGAAGGCGGCUU